rnacentral:rRNA from 1 species
UACGAAGGGUGCAAACGUUGCUCGGAAUUAUUGGGCGUAAAGAGCUCGUAGGCGGUUUGUCGCGUCUGCCGUGAAAGUCCGGGAGCUCAACUCCGGAUCUGCGGUGGGUACGGGCAGACUAGAGUGAUGUAGGGGAGACUGGAAUUCCUGGUGUAGCGGUGAAAUGCGCAGAUAUCGGGAGGAACACCGAUGGCGAAGGCAGGUCUCUGGGCAUUAACUGACGCUGAGGAGCGAAAGCAUGGGGAGCGAACGAGG